CGAAAGCGAAGCGACAACGCAACGCAACGCAACGCGAGACUUGUUCCUGGUGAUCUGUUAGCUGUCAAUCAAUAUGGACUUCCAGAACAGAGCUGGGGGUAAGACGGGAGGAGGAGGUGUGGCCUCUCAGUCAGAGUCGAACAGAGACAGGAGAGAGAGGCUUAGACAGCUGGCCUUAGAGACCAUCGAUCUUAACAAGGAUCCCUAUUUUAUGAGGAACCAUCUGGGUUCUUAUGAAUGCAAGCUGUGUCUCACCCUUCACAACAACGAAGGCAGCUACCUGGCACAUACGCAGGGCAAGAAACAUCAAUCUAAUCUAGCUCGAAGAGCAGCGAAGGAAGCUAAAGAUGCUCCUGCACAACCAGCGCCUGAAAAGUCCAGAGUAGAGAUCAGAAAGUUUGUCAAGAUUGGAAGGCCUGGUUACAAAGUAACAAAGCAGAAAGACUCGGACAACGAUCAACAAAGCUUGUUAUUCCAGAUUGAUUAUCCAGAAAUAGCAGAAGGCACCUACCCCAGGCAUCGCUUCAUGUCGGCUUAUGAGCAGAGGAUUGAGCCUCCUGAUAAGAAAUGGCAGUAUCUUCUCUUUGCAUCCGAGCCGUAUGAAACCAUCUCCUUCAAGGUUCCUAGCAGAGAGGUUGAUAAAAGUGAGAACAAGUUCUGGACUUCUUGGAACAAAGAAACUAAACAGUUUUUUCUUCAGUUCCACUUCAAGAUGGAAGUUAAGCCGGUAGCCCCUCCACCACCCCCUCCCAGCGCCCUGAAGGGAGCCCCCCAUAUUGGAGAGAAGCCUCCCGUACCCCCCAUGCCCCCAAUGGGUAUGCCUCCUCCCCUAGGGAUGCCUGGUCCUCUCGGCCCGCCCGGUAUGCCACGCUUUCCUCUCCACCCCAACAUGCCCAUGCCACCUCCCCCUCCAUUCCCCAUGCCGCCUGGUAUGAUGCCCCCUCGACCCAUCCCUCCCCCAAACUCCAUGCCCCUCCCCCCGCCCCCUGUACCCCCACCCAACAUGGGUGGCGGCCCGAUGCCCAGGCUACACCCCCCUCCGCCCCCUCCUCCCAACAUGCCCCUCCCGCCACCAAACAUGGGGGGCAACUUACCCCUACCCAUUCCCCCUCCACCACGGCCUCCCAGCGGAGUCUCAUCAGGAGGGGUGCCUAACUUCCUUCCCCCGCCUCCAGCACCCCCUCCAAUGCCCCCUCCACCCUCAAUGGAUAUGCCCCCAACGUCCUCUGAAGACAUGCUCUCAAGCAACGAAGGCCCGUCAUCAUAGUGUAAUGGUUCUAUAUUCAGUUCUAGUACUCUUAAAAUUCAAUCUACCAAAAAGAGAAAUACAUGUACAGUCAAACCUGUCUAUAGCGACCACCCAAGGGAAACACACAAAGUGGCCUUUGUAGACAGGUGGUCUUUAUAGACAGGUUCCUUUAGUACAUGAUUCCAUAAGAAACCAUUUUCAAGGGAAACAAUAUAUGUGGCCUUUGUAGACAGGUGAUCACUAAAGCAGGUUUGACUGUACGUUUGUUUCUUUAUUGAAAAGGGGACCAGUUCCUCGAAACCAUCAUAAGUCUAGCUCGUAGACAUCCCAUGGCGCUAAAACGUGUGUGAAUUCUAUAACACACGUUUCAAUGGGACACCUAAGAAGUUAGACUUAUGACAGUUUCGAGAAACGGCCCCCAGAGUUCCACAUUGUAUCCUUCAUGAUACAUGUAGAUGACCAUUUUAUUGAAAUAGUCUAAGUCAAGCAGUCAUGCUUCAUUGAAAUAAUUUGCUAGGGGGUCUUCAAGUGAUGUAGGUAACCUUGAUACAAAUGGGAUAGUAGAGUUCUGGGAACCGAGAGUGCUAACAUGUGAGGUUUUCAUUCCCUUAAUGGUAAUGUGGACAAAAUAUCUUGGAAAAAAUGUCAUGUGAAAAAAGAUGUGUCUUCAAAUUCCCUCAUAUUCAAAGUAUGACAAGUGACCAAACUGUUAUGACACAUGUUUAUGUAUUCCCAUUUACAUGUAAUCCCAUGUAUAUGCUUCUGUGAACAGUGCAGGUGACUUUUAGCAAGACUGGGCUUAAUUUGUUUAUCUGUCAUGACAAUUUGCCCCAUUAUUUUCUCCCGUUUGUACUUUUUCUGUCAACUUUCAACAUGUUUUUUGUUUGUAAAUAAGUAGUAGAGGUCUUAAUCUUUUAGUAUUGGGGGGGGGGUGCAUCCUUCAUCUGCAAAUUGUUAAAGAGUUAAGGAGCUGAUUUGUUUUCUCUUCUGUUUGUCACUGUGUAAACAUUAUGUGAUUAGUGGAUGUUUAUAAUAAAUCCAUUUUUAAUGAAAUUGGA